UACGAAGGGUGCAAACGUUGCUCGGAAUUAUUGGGCGUAAAGCGCACGUAGGCGGCUUGGCAAGUCGGAUGUGAAAGCCCUGGGCUCAACUCAGGAAGUGCAUCCAAAACUGAUCGGCUGGAGUAUGAAAGAGGGUCGCGGAAUUCCCGGUGUAGAGGUGAAAUGCGCAGAUAUCAGGAGGAACACCCGUAGCGAAGGCGGCACUCUGGGCCGGAACUGACGCUGAGGAGCGAAAGCGUGGGGAGCGAACAGG
rnacentral:rRNA from 1 species